AUUGAACGCUGGCGGCAGGCCUAACACAUGCAAGUCGAACGGUAACAGGAAGAAGCUUGCUUCUUUGCUGACGAGUGGCGGACGGGUGAGUAAUGUCUGGGAAACUGCCUGAUGGAGGGGGAUAACUACUGGAAACGGUAGCUAAUACCGCAUAACGUCGCAAGACCAAAGAGGGGGACCUUCGGGCCUCUUGCCAUCGGGUGUGCCCAGAUGGGAUUAGCUAGUAGGUGGGGUAACGGCUCACCUAGGCGAGGAUCCCUAUCUGGUCUGAGAGUAUGACCAGCCACACUGGAACUGAGACAGGGUCCAGACUCCUACGGGAGGCAGCAGUGGGGAAUAUUACACAAUGGGCGCAAGCCUGAUGCAGCCAUGCCGCGUGUAUGAAGAAGGCCUUCGGGUUGUAAAGUACUUUCAGCGGGGAGGAAGGGAGUAAAGUUAAUACCUUUGCUCAUUGACGUUACCCGCAGAAGAGGCACCGGCUAACUCCGUG
rnacentral:rRNA from 1 species